AGAAGGGUUAAAACGAAGCCUGGAAUGGCUGGAGGAAUGUGGUGUAAGGCUAGACUGCAUUGUGACAGACAGACAUCUCCAGAUUCAAAAGUUUCUGAAAGAAAGAAAUGUCACACAGUACUAUGAUGUCUGGCAUUUGGAGAAAGGGUUGUCAAAGAAGUUAGAGCAAAUUGCCAGAGACAAGGACUGUUCAAUAGUGAAAAAGUGGCAGCACAGCAUAAGAAACCAUCUCUACUGGACUGCAGCAUCCUCUACAUCAGGACUAGAGAAGGUUCAAAACCACUUUACAGAGUCGAAAAGGUGCUUAUUAACAACAGAGUCCUCAAAGAUGUAGCAAAGCUCAGCCCUCACUUCCAGACCUCAUCCUUGGAGGCCUUUCACAGUGUUAUUUUACACUUUGCCCCCAAAAGUGUGGUAUUUCCUUUUAUUGGAAUGCUGUGCAGGUUGUAUUUGGCUGGCAUGCAUUUCAAUGAAAAUUCAAACCGUCCAAAGGCUACUAUACCAUCUGGAAAGCCAAUGUACAGACUUUUGUUCCCCAAGGCUAAAAAAGGAUUGUACACCAUAAAACCAGUGACAUCCAACCCAACGUACUGCUACGUCUACAAUCUGAUGACACUGCUUUUUGAAAAGGUUCUGCCAGAUCCUUUUCCCUACAUGGAGGAACUGCAAAAAAUUAAAGUGCCUGACAGUCUAUGCACACAGUAUGACAGACCUUCAUUGGAGGAGGCCAUUGCUGAGCACGUAUCAAGGUUUAGUCAAGGGGCAGUUUGAAUCCGACAUAGCUGCCUUACGCAUCUGGGAAUUUUUGCCGUAUACACAAGACAACACAUGAUGGUAUUACAACCCUGAUCUUUCUGCCUAGAUAGCCCCAGCACCAACUGACAAAGCUUAUGUAAGCCAAAUGCCUGUAGCGCCUGAUGGAAACAGAGAAAAGACAUUUCAAAUUAUACAUUCGGGGGGCAAAAGAUUGAAUAAUUU